rnacentral:misc_RNA from 1 species
CUUGGUGUAGAUAAAGAGCGAGCUACAGCAUUUGCCAAAGCAACGGUGAAGCUGGGAUCUUUAGUCAGGGAUGCAACGUACUCUUCAACCUUAGAGUUGCAGUUUUUGUUGGUGUGAUCUUCCAUAAAACUUUGAGAAGGUUUUUCCUUGUCAUCUAUGGGGCUCGAGAGGUUAAGAUCAAGGGCUAAACCUGGUUGAAAAUGAUUGCUUGUGACUGGACAAGAAAUGCAACUUCUCGAGCUAUCUGGAGAGUACAUGGUGUGUCCAGGUGAACCGUUGGGAUCAUGGCUGUGUUCUCCUUCAUAAGUUGCAACCAGUAAUGAUUUAUCCUCCGCGCAUCUUUGAACCUUCUUUUUGACUGGGCAACCUGGAGCCAUGGAACACCUGUAGUAAGCUCUAGGUGAUGGAUUAUCUUUAGUAACCUUCUGGCCAUACUUUCUCCAUUGAUAUCCAUCUUUUACAAUUCAGGCUCUUGUCUUCGGAGUCGGUUCUGACAAAGAUUUGUGAAGGCUUUGCCAUGGGAAUCUCAAUCCUCGGUUUCUUGAUCGGGUCAUAGACCUCAUGAUAGUAGUAUGAAGCACCACUAAGUGGUGAGUAGCUACCAAUUUCUUGAACCUUAAAUUUCUUUUCUUGAACAUGUGCUUGAAGGUCACUGAGCUUACUGCUCAUAACUUCAAGCAUAACCCUAAGGGUAUCAUUCUCUUUCCGGGUACGUUCCAACUCAUCUUGGAGAGCUUCCGCCUUAGCUUUGCAAGAG